GCGAUUACAUUAGGACUAAUGCAUCAGAUUCCAUUAGAACUUUACAAUUAAGUUUGUUUGGGUGAGAAUAGUACUCCGAUGGAGGACCUUGACUAAUCCUUGUGCUGCAUUCU